UACGAAGGUCCCAAGCGUUGUUCGGAUUUACUGGGCGUAAAGAGUCUGUAGGCGGCGGGGUAAGUCAGAUGUGAAAUCCCGGGGCUCAACCCCGGAACUGCAUCCGAUACUGCCUUGCUUGAGUAUUGGAGGGGAGCCUGGAAUUCUCGGUGUAGCAGUGAAAUGCGUAGAUAUCGAGAGGAACACUAGUGGCGAAGGCGAGGCUCUGGACAAUUACUGACGCUGAGAGACGAAGGUCAGGGGAGCGAAAAGGAUUAGAUACCCUUGUAGUCCUGACAGUAAACGGUGCACGCUUGGUGUGGGAGGGUUCGACCCCUUCCGUGCCGGAGCUAACGCGUUAAGCGUGCCGCCUGGGGAGUACGGUCGCAAGAUUA
rnacentral:rRNA from 1 species